CAUGGGUGAAUCCGUCGGCACGCUGCUCGAACUCGACGUCACCGCGAUCGCCCACGGCGGCAU
rnacentral:sRNA from 1 species